UGCGCUCGUAGCUCAGCGGAUAGAGCAGCUGCCUUCUAAGCAGUUGGUCGCAGGUUCGAAUCCUGCCGAGCGCGCCCA
rnacentral:tRNA from 1 species